rnacentral:rRNA from 1 species
GACGAACGCUGGCGGCGUGCCUAAUACAUGCAAGUAGAACGCACAGUUUAUACCGUAGCUUGCUACACCAUAGACUGUGAGUUGCGAACGGGUGAGUAACGCGUAGGUAACCUGCCUGGUAGCGGGGGAUAACUAUUGGAAACGAUAGCUAAUACCGCAUAAUAUUGAUUAUUGCAUGAUAAUUGAUUGAAAGAUGCUAUUGCAUCACUACCAGAUGGACCUGCGUUGUAUUAGCUAGUAGGUGAGGUAACGGCUCACCUAGGCGAGGAUACAUAGCCGACCGGAGUGGGUGGUCGGACACGCUGGGACUGAGACACGGCCCAGACUCCUACGGGAGGCAGCAGGAGGGAAUCUUCGGCAAUGGACGAGAGUCUGACCGAGCAACGCCGCGUGAGUGAAGAAGGGUUUCGGAUCGUAAAGCUCUGUUGUAAGAGAAGAACGGGUGUGAGAGUGGAAAGUUCACACUGUGACGGUAUCUUACCAGAAAGGGACGGCUAACUACGUG